UAACAGAAGAAGAAGCUAUAAACGGGCUGUGCAGAGCAUCAAACCUUCCACUUCCAGGGAGAACUGGCAGAGGAGUGUCCAGGGCUGAUGUGUUACUCAAAGCAAUCCCCCAGGAAACUCUAUCUUUGUCUUGGGCAGGCCAGCAGUCUCCCUAAGACUCGGAAAAAAGAGGGUCUUUGCCUACUCCUUUCCUCAAAGAUGAAAACUUGGGUUGCAAAGAGAGCUUGACCAAAUACAAUCAAAUCUUUAACACCCAAAAAUGAAAGUCUCAUGGAAAUAUCCCGUGGAAGCUUUUCAGCUGCCUUUCAAUGACAAGCUUUAUUACUUAGACGUGGAAGAGACUCUAGAUUCUCAAAGACUACAAGGUGGCUACAUGCUCUGGCAAAACCUACACCAAAGUGGAAAGUAUUUCUUGGAGAUGACAGUGUGUCUGUGAUUUGAGGACAAUCCUAGUUUGUUGCUGUUCUAGAGGGAACAGUAUACUUCUUUUUGCUGCCCAGGUCCAACAUUUAUUUCAACAUACUAUCAAAAGACAAGCACAUUAACCAUUCCUGUUCAUUAUUCUUGGAGCAAGACCAAAUGUCACCUAUUCAUCUGUGUCACCUGAACUUCAGUCUUCUUGAAGCCCAGAGAAGUGACUUUUUUCAAGGGUGAAUAUUACAAGACAGCAGGCAAUCCAUCUUAACUAAACUUCUCCAGUUCCCCCAGGACCAAGAACACACAACUCCACACACAACCGAUAAACUUCUUUCCAUGUGAUAUUAGACAUAA